rnacentral:RNase_P_RNA from 1 species
GUGGGUGGAAGCUCAUCAUAGAGGUCACAUGCAGGGUGCUUGUCACUCAACCAAUCACCUUGGGGAAGGUCUGAGACAAGAGCCAAUCACUGCCCUAGCAGGGUAUCACCUGACCUGGGUGAGUGAGUGCACAUUGUGAGUUGUCUUUACAGGAGAAACCAGCCAGAGCAGCUCUCCAGCACUACUGGUUGUUGUGACCUCACUGGCUUGGAAACACUCAUGGCUGGCAUAUGAGUGCAAUGUGUGAGUUGGAGUACACCUCCAGAACCCAAUUCAGACUACUCUCUGCCCAC